GGAGGGGGGAGAGGGAGCGGGGAGGGGCAGGCGAGGGCUUGUUCUGCAGCAUUUCUGUAAUGUAAUUACCCGAGAUUUAAAUGAGCGAGUGUGUUUCCUACUGAAAAAUAAUCACUGUUGUUACCCCCGAGCUCCACUACGCUGGAUCGCCUGAUCUAUAUGUUUAAAAUGUCAAGCCCAGUGUAGGAACGAGGACUCAAAAAAUACAAUUCUCGGUCUAAAAAUCUUUUGAGGGAGAGAGCGUGUGUGGCUGGCUGGCUGGCUGGCUUUCUGCAGCGCUGAGAACCGACAGUUCCCACAUGAAAAUCGGCUCAUAAUGCUUCUUAUGUUUUAUUUCUGCUUUCUACAGGAUCUGGCCAUUGUUUCUGUCUGGAUCCAUCAGUAACUCACUCUGAGUCCAUGGCAAACUUGGGAAUAUGCCUCCCCAAGAGCCGUCCAAGGUCUUUGGGGCUGUCGUCCCUGCUUCAGAGAAAGCAAACUGAAACAUGCCCAAGGUCACCCAAGGAAAUCUGCACUAGAUUAGCACCUGAAUCAGUCAUUCUGGUCACAGAAAUGCUAAUUUCAUCGUCCGACAUCCAAGCGGAGCCUUGAAUGAUAUGGCUGUAUGGAAGAUAGAACCUGGCCCUGAUUCUGCUGUCAUGCUGGUGUGGAAGAGCAAUUCAGCUGGUGUCAGAGGAUUUCCAUUGACAUAAAUCUAGUCAUUUUGAAGUGUUGCAAACUUCCUGCAGAACAAAUGAGCCCCCUACUCUAAGGAACUUUGCGAAGGUUUUCCCUCCCCCUCGUCAUUUCUGCCAAAAGAACUGGAGAGUUGUGGUCAAUGGCAUCGCUGAAGGACACGAGGACAUGUGGGCUGACAGACAGUUCACUGAACAUAGUGAAUGAAAACUCCUGCCUGGAGCGCAAGAAAAAGCAAAGCUCCUCUACACUGCUGAUGCUGGAUGGGAUCAUCAGCAGAAGUGAGGGGAACUCCAUCAACCAUCAAGUGAAAACAUUGCAGCACACAGCACAUCUCUGAGGGUGGAAAAGGGGAUGCCAGGCACUUGGAGAAAGAGGAAGGAUCAUGAAGAACAAAACCUGAACAUAAUCACACACAUCUUGAGGCGCAUGUAAACAUAUAUGUGCCUGCU